CUACGGGUUGCACCAGUGGGGAAUCUUCCGCAAUGGGCGCAAGCCUGACGGAGCAACGCCGCGUGAGUGAAGAAGGCCUUCGGGUCGUAAAGCUCUGUCUUUAGGGAAGAAAAACUAUGGUGAAAAUAUUGCCAUAGUCUGACGGUACCUGAGGAGGAAGCUCCGGCUAACUACGUGCCAGCAGCCGCGGUAAUACGUAGGGAGCGAGCGUUGUCCGGAAUUACUGGGCGUAAAGGGCGUGUAGGCGGGAAUUUAAGUAAGGUGUGAAAACUCCGGGCUCAACUUGGAGACUGCACUUUAAACUGGAUUUCUUGAGGGCAGGAGAGGAAAGUGGAAUUCCUAGUGUAGCGGUGAAAUGCGUAGAUAUUAGGAGGAACAUCAGUGGCGAAGGCGACUUUCUGGACUGCACCUGACGCUGAGGCGCGAAAGCAUGGGUAGCGAACAGGAUUAGAUACCCGGGUAGUC
rnacentral:rRNA from 1 species